AACCAUGUGGGGAAGUAUCAGAAGUCUUAGAAGCUGUCUACAUUUCAACAGCCAUGAAAGAUUUAAGUAAUACAAUGUAAAAAUGACACCAGGAGAUUAUACAUCCAUGGGGCCAUUUGGGCCAUGCACUUCAGAAUGACAAUCAUUGCCGUCAUGGCUGGCCUAUUGCCCUGCACAUGUCAGGGGGAACACAAAGAGUUUCUAAACCUGCAGAGGAUCUGAGACCUGUGCAAAGGAAGUGUGCUGGCUGGACUGUAGGAGGAUCCCUCAGAGUGGAAUGAGCCUGAGGAGAGGGCAGGAGCUUCAUUUCACACUCACCCCCAACAUGAGUGGAGCAAAUGAAUGCUAACUUCUUCAAGGUCACAGGACACAGCUGAGGAAACAUGGGCAUUUGGGGUUUAAGAAGGUUGCUCCAAUUUCUUGUAUCCAAAACAAGCUGUAAGCAAAGAAGAGAAAUCCAUAUGAAGACCUGAGGUAUAAAGAUGCACCAUUAAAUAAUUUACUUGCUCUCUCCUCAAGAGUCAAAAUGAUGGGGAACCCGUAAGAGUCCAGAGAGAGGAAAAGAUGAUGCUUCCAGCAACGACAUCCUGCUGUGUCCCAAGGAGAAGGCAGGGAAGUGUGUGCUUGAUGCCCAGUGGGCUCAAUAAUCACAGCAGUAAAUGACCUCAUCUUCAUGUUUGUGAAAUUUACUUUCAAGGUUGAAGUGGAAGGAUGAGCAUCAUUGUAAGCCACAACACCUAAUGGACCCUGAGCAGGUGCGAUUGUCAACACACAUCCAAUGCCGACUUAGGUUUCAGCUGACACCAGUAUUUGACUUCAUUUUUAGUCUUGGCUGGAUAUUUUACAAGGUAUAAAAGCAUCCUUAUCUUUUGCCCUGGGUAUUUUAAAUUUGUGCCAACUUUAACGCCCUGAGAAUAACUGUAAGCAAAGAAAAUUAAUUCUCAUGAACACCUGAUAUGUAAAGAUGAAGUGAUAAAGAAUUUCUUCACCUGAUAUACAAAGUGAAAUGACUGGAGCAAACCCCAAGGUGAAUCCCUACAUGCUCCUGGUGCUGACAUGCUCUGGUCUGCCAGGCUGUGUUCCCAAGAAGAAGCAGGAAAGUGAGGAUGCCUGUGCCUAGAAUGUUUAGUGUGUGGCAAGGGUAGCUUGGUCUGAGCAGGUGUCAGGGAAAGAAGUAGUGGGUCACAGUGAUUCCCUGACAACCCUUUCUGUAGAGUGCAGCGUUGUCAGAUCUGAAAUGGCUGGCCCUCUAAAUACUCCAGUGCCCAGGAGAUCUGGCAAUAUGGUGAUGGUUAGAGGAGAACUCUUCCUAUGAAGGGUGAGGUGUGGGUGAGUGGUGACAGUGGCAAUUAACUUCAAUUUCUCUCCCCUUCCCUGUUGCCUCCUAUUUCGUUUUUCAGUAGCCCUAGUGAUAUGAGGAUAUGUGAUAUGUGGAUAUGAGGAUACAGUGAUAUGUAUUUUGUACUCAAAGCAAAAAUUACUCUUCCUGUGGGUUGAAUGUGGAUCUAAAACUCAAGGUUAUAAAACACCUGUAUUUCUCACUAUAUAAAAUACUGAAAAUUUGUGCUGAUUUUAUAACAAAUUUUAUAAAUGAAAAUAAAAGUACAUAUACGUGGACAAUUGAGUAUAUUUGUUUAAUUAAUUGGGAGGAUGCCAUCUAUUUCAGCCCCAGAGAGGCCAAAUAUCAGUUCAAUAUUGCUCUCCAGAAAUUAGAGAGGACACUAGACACAACCAUCCUAUGGAAAUGGGAUUGGCUUGCACUUGUACCAGACUGUGGAGCUUAUAUCUUGAACAGUUUGGCCCUUAGACUCCCACUCCCCACACCAUAGUAUGUAGGAGGGACCUUCUGAAAAGAGCUUCUGACGCAGUAGGCCUGGGCUGAGGCUUGACUGACUGGAUUUAAAAGAAGCUCCUAAGUGAAGCCAAUGCUGCUGGUUCACAAAUCAAACUUUGAGUACCAAGGACUUAGAGUAUUAGUC
rnacentral:lncRNA from 1 species